rnacentral:rRNA from 1 species
UACGGGGGGGGCAAGCGUUGUUCGGAAUUACUGGGCGUAAAGGGCUCGUAGGCGGCCAACUAAGUCAGACGUGAAAUCCCUCGGCUUAACCGGGGAACUGCGUCUGAUACUGGAUGGCUUGAGUUUGGGAGAGGGAUGCGGAAUUCCAGGUGUAGCGGUGAAAUGCGUAGAUAUCUGGAGGAACACCGGUGGCGAAGGCGGGUCUCUGGGCCGAAACUGACGCUGAGGAGCGAAAGCGUGGGGAGCAAACAGG